rnacentral:rRNA from 1 species
AUUGAACGCUGGCGGCAGGCCUAACACAUGCAAGUCGAGCGGAUGAAGGGAGCUUGCUCCUGGAUUCAGCGGCGGACGGGUGAGUAAUGCCUAGGAAUCUGCCUGGUAGUGGGGGAUAACGUCCGGACACGGGCGCUAAUACCGCAUACGUCCUGAGGGAGAAAGUGGGGGAUCUUCGGACCUCACGCUAUCAGAUGAGCCUAGGUCGGAUUAGCUAGUUGGUGGGGUAAAGGCCUACCAAGGCGACGAUCCGUAACUGGUCUGAGAGGAUGAUCAGUCACACUGGAACUGAGACACGGUCCAGACUCCUACGGGAGGCAGCAGUGGGGAAUAUUGGACAAUGGGCGAAAGCCUGAUCCAGCCAUGCCGCGUGUGUGAAGAAGGUCUUCGGAUUGUAAAGCACUUUUAGUUGGGAGGAAGGGCAGUAAGUUAAUACCUUGCUGUUUUGACGUUACCAACAGAAUAAGCACCGGCUAACUUCGUG